GGGUGUGUGUGCUGCCUUCCUCCGGCUCUGCUGGCAGGACUGCCAACACCACACGCCCGGGCUCUACUCAGCAUCCCUCGGCCAGGGUUAGGCUCAUCUAGGGAUGAGAGCAGCAAAAAACCCUGCCAGCAUCUCUGACUGCUGGGUAACACAUGCAAAUAAGAAAAGCAAAUCGUUCUGUAAUCCUCUCUACCUCAGAAGGGAAAAAGAUUCAAGAUUAACCUUAAUUCGUGCUGUGGUUUAGUCCAGUAUGUAGAGACUGAUGAUUCCUCUCCCACUUUGACCUUAAAAAGUAAGAUUACCCAGGAUGGCUCUGUCAGCUGCCUCUGUCAUCACCUCACAUGCAGAUGCUGACGUGACAGAGCUCAGCAACUCCACAUCACACAGAGACAUCCGCCUGCUCUGAUCAAAGGCCCGGGAGAAUCAGCACAGACUGCCAUGGUACCCAGGGGACAUGGAAGUGAUGGAAGCACAUCAUCCUGAGGUUUCAGCCCACACUGUCUGUGCUUUAUUUUUCUCAGAAUGAAA